rnacentral:rRNA from 1 species
ACGAACGCUGGCGGCGUGGAUAAGGCAUGCAAGUCGCACGGUCUUUAGUUGAUUCAAGAUGCGAUUACAUCAAGUCAAGAAUUUUUUAAGGAUAGUGGCAAACGAGGUAGUAAUACAUAGGUACUUACCCUGAAGUCGGGCAUAACUCGCCGAAAGGCGUGCUAAUUCCCGAUAUUGUGGUAACACGAAACCCGCAAGGGGCUUCGGGAGAGGCCUGUGGCCUAUCAGCUAGUUGGUAGGGUAACGGCCUACCAAGGCAAUGACGGGUAGGGGAGGUGAGAGCCUGACCCCCACCGAUGGAACUGAGACACGGUCCAUACACCUACGGGUGGCAGCAGUCGAGAAUCUUCGACAAUGGGCGAAAGCCUGAUCGAGCGACGCCGCGUGCAGGAUGAAAUCCUUCGGGAUGUAAACUGCUUUUUUCUGGGAGCAAAAAAAUGAGAGUACCAGAGGAAUAAGGGCCUGCAAACCUCGU